rnacentral:lncRNA from 1 species
GGCUCCCUUCCACAGCUCCUGCUCUCUGCCAGAUGUGUUGGUCUUCAUUAUCGCUGUGACUCCCUCUAGGUGGAGAUUGCUGGGUGAGCAGCAGCUGAGAAGUCUGACAGGACAGGAAACUGGUUCUGUUUUCUGCUUGGAGAGAAACCUUUGCUGUGUGGAGAUGGACCAGAGCUGAGAGUUUCUGCCGCUUUUGUGCCAGCGGAAGCCAAAAGGGAAAAGGCUGCUCUUGAGAACAACUUGAAACCAUUCUUCUUGUGCCUUGGAAUCAGCACUUGUACUGAAUUGCCCCAUUUCGUCUAAGCUAUUUUUUAAGCUCCUUUGAAUAUAUUUUCUCCAUCACAGUUAGCGGAAAAGUUGCUCUGCUUUUCUUAAGGGGUAACCAAGUGCUUAAGUGCUUUGCUGGAUCCUGGCCAGAGCCAGCAUCUUGCAGAAUGGAGCCCAUGACAACUCAUUUCAUCCCCCAAAAUCUCAGUUUUCUUCACAAACU